rnacentral:rRNA from 1 species
UGGGGAAUUUUGGACAAUGGGCGAAAGCCUGAUCCAGCAAUGCCGCGUGUGUGAAGAAGGCCUUCGGGUUGUAAAGCACUUUUGUCCGGAAAGAAAUCCUUGGCUCUAAUACAGUCGGGGGAUGACGGUACCGGAAGAAUAAGCACCGGCUAACUACGUGCCAGCAGCCGCGGUAAUACGUAGGGUGCAAGCGUUAAUCGGAAUUACUGGGCGUAAAGCGUGCGCAGGCGGUUUGCUAAGACCGAUGUGAAAUCCCCGGGCUCAACCUGGGAACUGCAUUGGUGACUGGCAGGCUAGAGUAUGGCAGGAGGGGGGUAGAAUUCCACGUGUAGCAGUGAAAUGCGUAGAGAUGUGGAGGAAUACCGAUGGCGAAGGCAGCCCCCUGGGCCAAUACUGACGCUCAUGCACGAAAGCGUGGGGGAGCAAACAGGAUUAGAUACCCUGGUAGUCCAGCGCCCUAAACGAUGUCAACUAGUUGUUGGGGAUUCAUUUCCUUAGUAACGUAGCUAACGCGUGGAAGUUGACCGCCUGGGGAGUACGGUCGUCAAGAUUAAAACUCAAAUGAAUUGACGGGGUCAUAGCUGUUUCC